ensembl:lncRNA
AUGCACCCUCAGCUUCCCCCUCCAAACUGGCUUCAUAUCCAACCCUCACGGGAGGGAAUUUCUGGUUCCAAACAGCAUGACAAAACUUUGAAAAUUCCAGUAUCUGUUUAUAAGGUAGUGUCCACAGGGAUUUGGAAGGUGUCUGGAGAAUGCGUGGAAGGCAGCGCGCAGACUUCAGUGGCCUCCCCCAGCCAGCAGCACGAAGGGGUAAAAGGGUCCCAAGAGCCCCACCCCACCUACCGCCACCUCAUCCUGAGUCUGAGAGCUGCAGCCCGCACAGACCAGGCGCCCCUGGACUGAGCAUGCACAGAUUGACCCCUGGGGAAGUGUUCAUCCUGCAGAAAGGGGAGAAGAGAGGAAAAUGAAGUGACCUGGCAAAUGAUUCUAAGAGGGAACCUGGUGAGUAAUCAGCCCUGGAUAUGAGGAAAGAGAAAACAGGUAGCCCAGGAGUGGCAAGGAGACCUGGGGUGCGGCUCUCAGCUCCCAGAAGGAGCUGGUUCCUUAUCUGAGAACCAGAGAUAGAAGCUGGGUUUAAGCAAAAGUUCACCAACCAGGACAAAGGUCCUCACACUCUCCUCCUCCCCGCCCAAAAGAAAAGAAAAGAAAAAUCUGGCUGGGCGUGGUGGCUCACACCUGUAAUCCCAGCACUUUGGGAGGCUGAGGCGGGCGGAUCACGAGGUCAGGAGUUCGAGACCAGCCUGACCAACAUGGUGAAACCCCGUCUCUACUAAAAAAAAAAAAAAAAAAUACAAAAAUUAGCUGGGCAUGGUGGUGCACACCUGUAAUCCCAGCUACUCAGGAGGCUGAGGCAGGAGAAUCUCUUGAACCUGGGAGGCGGAGCUUUCAGUGAGCCAAGAUUGGGCCAUUGCACUCCCGCCUGGGCGACAGAGCAAGAUGCCGUCUCAAAAAAAAAAAAAAAAAAAAAAAAAAAAAUCCAGGAGAGGAAGAAUGUCAAUGGGCUUUGCUUUACUGGACAGGAUAACCCUUGACACUUUGUUUAACCACGCUGUGCCUCAGUUCCCCUCAGUUCCCUCAUCUGUAAAAUGGGGCUAAUGAAAGUGCCUACCUGGCGGGGCACAGUGGCUCACACCUGUAAUCUCAGCACUUUGGGAGGCCGAGGCAGGCAGAUCACCUGAGGUCAGGAGUUCCAAGACCAGCCUGGCCAACACGGCGAAACCCCGUCUCUGCUAAAAAUACAAAAAUUAGCUGGGCGUGGCGGUGCAUGCCUGUAAUCCCAUCUACUUGGGAAGCUGAGGCAGGAGAAUUACUUGAACCUGGGAGGCAGAGGGUUCAAUGAGCUGAUAUCGCGUCACUGCACUCCAGCCUGGGCAACAGAACGACACUUCAGAAGAAAAAAAAGGCCGAGCGCGGUGGCUCACGCCUGUAAUCCCAGAACUUUGGGAGGCCAAGGCGGGUGGAUCACCUGAGGUUGGGAGUUCGAGACCAACAUGGCGAAACCCCCUCUCUACUAAAAAUAUAAAAUUAGCCGGGCAUGAUGCCCAUGUCUGUAAUCCCAGCUACUUGGGAGGCUGAGGCAGGAGAAUCACUUGAACCCGGAGGCGGAGGUUGCAGUGAGCUGAGACCAUGCCAUUGCACUCCAGCCUGGGUAAGAAGAGUGAAACUCCGUCGCGGGGGAAAAAAAAAGGUCUACUUUAGGGCUGGGCUGGGCACAGUGGCUCAUUCCUGUAACCUCAGCACUUUGGAAGGCCGAAGGCGGGAGGAUCACUUGAGCCCAGGAGUUAAAGACCAUCCUGGGCAACAUAUCAAGACCCCUAAAAAAAAGAGUUAAGUGCCUACUUUUUAUCCUGACCCAGGCGUGUGGUGAGGAUUAAGCAAAUGCAUGGAAGUGACCAAGUACAGCAUACCUUCAGGGCCUGGGACUGCCGUAAGCAUCAGUAAGUCUCUCUCUUGACUAUGGGAGAAGUUAUCUGUAAAAAACCGGAAGCAUCCAGGGCAGAAGCAAAGUCUCUGGGGCCUUUGGAGGCUCUGGGAAUCUUCUGAGGGCAUUUCUCAGACUCUCUGUGUAAACAGAGGGGACUUGGCUUGAAGCCUCAAUUAACACAGCAGUUAAUUCCCCCAAUAUGACUUCUCAGGGCUCCCAGGAGAAACAAACGAUUUCCAAGGCUGCCAGCCCACUCCUGCCCCUUAGGGAGCUCUUAGACUGCCAU